GACGUAGGGCGCGAGCGUUGUCCGGAUUUAUUGGGCGUAAAGAGCUCGUAGGCGGUUUGUCGCGUCUGCUGUGAAAACGCGAGGCUCAACCUCGCGCCUGCAGUGGGUACGGGCAGACUAGAGUGCGGUAGGGGAGAUUGGAAUUCCUGGUGUAGCGGUGGAAUGCGCGGAUAUCAGGAGGAACACCGGUGGCGAAGGCGGUUCUCUGGGCAUUACCUGACGCUGAGGAGCGAAAGCAUGGGGAGCGAACAGG
rnacentral:rRNA from 1 species